rnacentral:rRNA from 1 species
GUCUGUGGCCACGCCACCCUGAACAAGCCCGAUGUCUGAUCUCGGAAGCUAAGCAGGGUCGGGCCUGGUUAGUACUUGGAUGGAAAACCACCUAGGAAGACCAGGUGCUGUAGGCA